CCACCAUUCUUCCACCUCUCAAAUCACUCUUUCUAUUUAUUCUCUCUAACACACUUUUUUUAUUACUCAUCAUUGACAAAAGCUUAGACUUUUGAUUCUUUCCUUCAAUCUACUCUUAAGAAAAAAGAAUUUUUGAAUUAUAGAGAAAAAGUUGCGGUUUGUGAGAUUUUUGUUGGUGAAAUUAAGAUUGAUUAUGUUGAGAUCUGAUCGGAUAUGCUGAAUUUUAUAUGUUUUUCAGUUUAUUUGUGUAAAAUUUGAUUUUGAGUUUAUAUAGUUGAAAAAAAAAUUGAAUAUUGAAUGAAAAAUAGAGUUGAGUUUUGAUUGAAUUUGCUGAAUUUUAUUUGUUUUUCAAUGAAUUUUGAUAUUUUGGAGCUGAUAUAUUGAAAGAAUUGAAUUUUAAAUGAAAAUUGAGUCGUCGGUGUCGAUGGCGACAGUGGUGGUUGAAAAUAAAUGGCUGAAGUUGAUGAUAAAAUGUAUGUCCCUUGAUUGUGAGGUUGUGUGUAUGUGUAUAUCGUGAAGAUUUUUAAGAAUUGAAAGGGGAAGAUGAAGAAUUGGGAGAGUUGUCAUGGUCAUAUGCUCAUUCAAUCCAAUUAAAAAUCACCUUAAAUAAAUAAAAAAAAUUGUUCUCUCUCUUCCUAAAACCUCUGCUGCUCCUAUAACUGUCAGCGCCACCAUCUUCCGCUGCCAAAGAUCUUCAAGAUUCCAUAAAUGGCUGAACUUUCUGUCAAUUUAGAGAAACCCCACAAAGUUGAAGAUGUAAAAAAUGAAGAAUUUGAUGAAGAAUUGAAAGAGGAAGAUGAAGAAGAAAGAGAGUUAAGUGAAUAUGCUG
rnacentral:lncRNA from 1 species